rnacentral:rRNA from 1 species
CAGUUCGGAUUGGAGUCUGCAACCCGACUCCAUGAAGCUGGAUUCGCUAGUAAUCGCGCAUCAGCCACGGCGCGGUGAAUACGUUCCCGGGCCUUGUACACACCGCCCGUCAAGCCAUGGAAGCCGGGAGUGCCUGAAGUACGCGACCGCAAGGAGCGUCCUAAGGUAAAACCGGUGACUGGGGCUAAGUCGUAACAAGGUAAC